rnacentral:misc_RNA from 1 species
AAAUCUCAACCUCCUCGGUUUCUUUUGGAACGCCGAAGGAGGCUUGGACUUUGGAGGGCUUUGCUGGACUUUUAAAAGGCCAGCUCCUCUCAAACGAAUUAGCGAGGUCCCCUUUGCCGCUCCUCGACGUGUGAUAAGACGCUUCCACGUCUCGGUUUUUGGCUCUGUCGCCUCUUGGGACCUGCUUCCAAUCGUCUCUCUACGAGACAACGUUCGAGCUCGCCUCGACCACGUAC